rnacentral:pre_miRNA from 1 species
AGCGAAAUUGCUGGGUUAUGUGGUAAUUCUGUCUUUUGAGGAACUGCCAAACUGUUUUCCAAAGCAUCUGCACCGUUUCACAUUCUCACAAGCAAU